rnacentral:rRNA from 1 species
GACGCUGGCGGUAGGCUUAACACAUGCAAGUCGUGCGAGAAAGUAUCUUCGGAUAUGAGUAGAGCGGCGGACGGGUGAGUAACGCGUAGGAAUCUACCUAGUAGAAGGGGAUAGCCCGGGGAAACUCGGAUUAAUACCGUAUACCUCCUUCGGGAGAAAGAAGGCCUCUCUUUGAAGCUUUCGCUAUUAGAUGAGCCUGCGUAAGAUUAGCUUGUUGGUGAGGUAAAGGCUCACCAAGGCGACGAUCUUUAGCGGGUCUGAGAGGACGAUCCGCCACAUUGGGACUGAGACACGGCCCAGACUCCUACGGGAGGCAGCAGUGGGGAAUAUUGGACAAUGGGCGCAAGCCUGAUCCAGCCAUACCGCGUGUGUGAAGAAGGCCCUAGGGUUGUAAAGCACUUUAAGUUGGGAAGAAAAGUUAUUGGUUAAUACCCAAUAACCGUGACAUUACCAUCAGAAUAAGGACCGGCUAAUUCCGUGCCAGCAGCCGCGGUAAUACGGAAGGUCCAAGCGUUAAUCGGAAUUACUGGGCGUAAAGCGCGCGUAGGUGGUUUAUUAAGUUGGAUGUGAAAUCCCCGGGCUCAACCUGGGAACUGCAUCCAAAACUGAUUCACUAGAGUACGAUAGAGGGAGGUAGAAUUCACAGUGUAGCGGUGGAAUGCGUAGAUAUUGUGAAGAAUACCAAUGGCGAAGGCAGCCUCCUGGAUCUGUACUGACACUGAGGUGCGAAAGCGUGGGUAGCGAACAGGAUUAGAUACCCUGGUAGUCCACGCCGUAAACGAUGUCAACUAGCUGUUGGAGAACUAUGUUCUUCAGUGGCGCAGCUAACGUAGUAAGUUGACCGCCUGGGGAG